rnacentral:rRNA from 1 species
CGUGCUUAAUACAUGCAAGUCAACUUGACUUUAGAUAGCAAUAUCGAAAGUAGGGUGGCGCACGGGUGCGUAACGCGUAGGUAAUCUGCCCUGAGGUCUGACAUAACCCGUCGAAAGGCGGGCUAACAUCAGAUGAUAUAUAAUCACGACAUCGUGGAAAUAUCAAAUCUUCGGAGCCUUGGGAUGAGCCUGCGUCUGAUUAGGUAGUUGGCGGAGUAAUAGCCCACCAAGCCUACGAUCAGUAGCUGGUCUGAGAGGAUGAUCAGCCACACUGGAACUGAGACACGGUCCAGACUCCUACGGGAGGCAGCAGUAAGGAAUAUUGCUCAAUGGGGGAAACCCUGAAGCAGCAACGCCGCGUGAAGGAUGAAAUACUUUCGUAUGUAAACUUCUGUAAGAUGGGAAAAAUAUUCUCCUCGGGAGAAUUGAUUGUACCAUCAGAGUAAGCCCCGGCUAACUACGUG